AACGAACGCUGGCGGCAGGCUUAACACAUGCAAGUCGAACGGGCAUAGCAAUAUGUCAGUGGCAGACGGGUGAGUAACACGUGGGAACCUUCCUAGAGGUACGGAACAACGCAGGGAAACUUGUGCUAAUACCGUAUACGCUCGAGAGAGGAAAGAUUUAUCGCCUUUAGACGGGCCCGCGUAGGAUUAGGUAGUUGGUGAGGUAACGGCUCACCAAGCCUACGAUCCUUAGCUGAUCUGAGAGGAUGAUCAGCCACACUGGGACUGAGACACGGCCCAGACUCCUACGGGAGGCAGCAGUGGGGAAUCUUGGACAAUGGGCGCAAGCCUGAUCCAGCCAUGCCGCGUGAGUGAAGAAGGCCUUCGGGUUGUAAAGCUCUUUUACCAGGGACGAUAAUGACGGUACCUGGAGAAUAAGCCCCGGCUAACUUCGUGCCAGCCGCCGCAGUAA
rnacentral:rRNA from 1 species